GCACAAACAAUGAACAGUCUUUCAUCACAAAACCAAAAUAUAUUGGAGCUCGCAGGAGAAUAAACCACAACACAAAUCAAAGACAAGAACCUAAUUUAAGGCACCAAACCCCUUUCCCAGAAGAGUUGCCAUGCAACAUUUUCCUGCUCUAAACGAGUGCAUUCCCGCACGUCACCGCGUGCAGUUUUCUGUGUGUUGUUUCAGUUGAUUGUUAUGGAGCUUGACAGUGUAUGUUGGCUCUGGUCAAUAUGGUGGUGUUAUUUUAUCAUUGCAGUCAGUAUUCAUCACAUCAUGCGCAAUCAGUCGGGAAGUUGGGUCUGCUGAAGAGAAUCACUGAUUCACUUUGGGCUUUUUUUUAUUAUGCAGCCUCAUUUUUGGCAAACUGCAUUGCAAGUUCAGAGAGUUCAGCAGUUUCCCUUGAAAGACUUUUAGUAAAAGUAAUGUAAGAAAAGAUUUAGCAGUUACAGCAAUUACAGGGCCAAGCACAGUGGAUGAAACGUCAUAACUUUAGCACAAUCCAAUUCAUUCAGAGAACAGUUAAACAAUUGUACUCCUCAGAAUAUAAGACUAGUAUCCAUCCAAUACUU